rnacentral:rRNA from 1 species
CUGGCUCAGGAUGAACGCUGGCGGCGUGCUUAACACAUGCAAGUCGAACGAUUAAACCGCCCUCGGGCGGACAUAGAGUGGCGAACGGGUGAGUAACACGUGACCAACCUGCCCCGCACUCCGGGAUAACCUGCGGAAACGCAGGCUAAUACCGGAUACUCCGCGCAGGCCGCAUGGCCCGCGCGGGAAAGCCCUUACGGUGCGGGAUGGGGUCGCGGCCCAUUAGGUAGACGGCGGGGUGACGGCCCACCGUGCCCGCGAUGGGUAGCCGAGCUGAGAGGCUGACCGGCCACAUUGGGACUGAGAUACGGCCCAGACUCCUACGGGAGGCAGCAGUGGGGAAUUUUGCGCAAUGGGGGCAACCCUGACGCAGCAACGCCGCGUGCGGGAAGAAGGCCUUCGGGUUGUAAACCGCUUUCAGCGGGGACGAUAAUGACGGUACCCGCAGAAGAAGCUCCGGCUAACUACGUGCCAGCAGCCGC